rnacentral:tRNA from 1 species
GGGGUUGUAGCUCAGUGGUAGAGCGCUUGCCUAGCAUGCGUGAGGCCCUGGGUUCGAACCUCCGCGCCA